UUUGAAUCAUUUAAAAGGUUUUUUCGUAAUUAGGUAAAUCAAUAGUGGUUUUAAGAAUUUAAAAUAAAUAAGUUUUUAGUACAAAUUUCAUGCAUUACGAUUGUUUUUCACGCUCAGCUUUCCCCAGGAUCAACGACGAGGACGUAGUGAAAAAUCUGAUCCCAUUUUUUUAUUGCUAUUUUUUUAUUUGUUUUUAAUGAUUUUUUUGUAUUUUUUUAAUGAUUUAUAUAUUUUUUUUUUUAUUUUUUUUUAGAUUUUUUAAAAUUUUUGUUGUUUUUUUUUUAAUUUUCUUUUUGUUUUUCGAUUUUGUUUUAUUUGUCUUUUGUAUACUGGGACUUGUUCUCAAAUUUAGGCAAACUGCAACGAGAAUAUAAAGUUGAGCGUAUGUAACCAUCCCUAUUGUGAUAACCACAUACCUUCUUCGACGCUUCAGUAAUAAGCUUAACAGUUCGCUCUACUGCUUGAGUGUGGCAUGGAAAGCUUAGCAAGUUGCUUUGACCGAUUGAUAGUUGGUUAUCAAUGGAAGAUACCAAAACUGCAUUUGACACAUUCCUAAGUACUGGAGGAGGUGAAACUACUGUAGAAGACCAGUCGAUCAUUUCAUAGUACUUAGUGGCAUUAGAUUAUACAUAUCGAGUGAAGAGCCCUCCGAAAACUUAGUUCACAUAGUUACAUUUAUAAUGAAAGUGUAUUUACCUACUUGGUUUCAAAUAAAAAUGAGUGAUUCAAUAACAGAUGGUGCGAGACAUGUCUUCACUAUGAUUAAAAAUUCUCGAUACUUGCCAAAACGUCUUUUAAAAGUAGUUGAUCCUGUAAUUCAACACAAUGCUUAUUUCGCGCAUCCUGAAAAUUUGCUUUUGUCUAUGCUCACAGAUGAAAAUCUUAAUUUACGUAAGAUCGGGUUGCAAAGAAUUUUAAAAGCCAGAGAGAAGACUCCUACUGCGGAGACUUCGGUGCGCUCGUUCCUUUUGCCAAAACUAAACUUUAAUGCCACUAAGUACUAUGAAAUGAUCGACUGGUCUUCUAUAGUAGUAUCACCUCCUCCAGUACUUAGGAAUGUGUCAAAUGCAGUUUUGGUAUCUUCCAUUGAUAACCAACUAUCAAUCGGUCAAAGCAACUUGCUAAGCUUUCCAUGCCACACUCAAGCAGUAGAGCGAACUGUUAAGCUUAUUACUGAAGCGUCGAAGAAGUUUGCCUAAAUUUGAGAACAAGUCCCAGUAUACAACAGACAAAUAAAACAAAAUCGAAAAACAAAAAGAAAAUU